AAAUUAGAGCAUUGUCUAAAGUAAUUUUUGAAUCUUUUCCAUGCUUCCAGAUAGCUUUCGAGGUCUCUUUGCUUGAAAGUAUAGACUUCAUUUUUAAUAU
rnacentral:snoRNA from 1 species